rnacentral:rRNA from 1 species
ACUCAAAUGAAUUGACGGGGACUUGCACAAGCAGUGGAUUAUGUGGUUUAAUUCGAUGGUAAACGAAGAACCUUACCAGGGUUAGAAAUCCUAUUGAAAGCCUUUAGAAACAUUGGCCCUCGCAAGACAGUAGGACAGGUGAUGCAUGGCCGUCGUCAGUUCGUGGUUUGAAUUGUUCCCUUAAGUGGGGUAACGAACGCAACCCUCGUUGUGUGUUACAAGUGUCACACGAGACCGCCCCCACCUUAGUUUUUGAAAUGCAAUUUGCAUUGUCGAAAUUUAAGGUGGGGGAGGAAGGAGAGGAUGACGCCAGGUCAGCAUGUCCCUCUGAUACCCUGGGCUACACACAUAAUACAAUGGCCGUUACAACGCGCAGCGACGAGGCGACUCUGAGCUAAUCGUACAAAAACGGCCUAAGUUCGGAUUGGAGUCUGCAACUCGACUCCAUGAAGCUGGAAUUGCUAGUAAUCACAGGUCAGCUAAACUGUGGUGAAUACGUUCUCAAGUCUUGUACACACCGCCCGU